GAGACUUGCGGAGGGGAGGGAAAACGGGAAGACUGCGCGCAAGCGCGAUCUCGUCCUUUCCGAGGUCCUCUGCCGCGUGUUUGGAAGUUAUGGCCGCGCGGGUCUGUGGUGUUCUCCCUGAAAGGCCUAAGCUUUGGGUGAUGGCAUUGCCUUUUGGCACUCGGGAGACAAGAUGCAGGUUCCGUCUCAGAAGUAAUGGCUGGAUCCCUGAAAGCCAACGGGCUCGGUGUGGUCCACCCGUCAGAAGGCAUAGGUAGAUGGUGGGCAUCUGCCUCAGACAUAGUUCUCAAGUUCAGCCAGAAGAAUGCGCGUUGAGCCCUCUGCAGCCCGUGUCGACGGAGGUGUUGUCUCCAGGAAGCAUCAUGGAAAGGCGUGGUGGUGCACAAGGGCCUUCAGGAUGCCUGCGCCUGGUGACGGCUGCGCCUCAGGUUCUGGGCCUGACUCGGAAGGGUGCCUGUGAGCAGAAGAGCUGGCACGCGCAGCUCAGUGGACCAUCAGUGCCAACCCGUCCUGUACCCUGGCUGAGGGGUGUGCUAAGUGGCAGAUUCCCGGUUGGCUCAUCGUAAGGCGUGGCACAAAAUCACCAUCGAAAGAAAGGGCCUUCGGGAUGCCUCUAUCUGGUUAUUGCCCUGUAGUGCCAGAGAGAACCACAUAGCCUGCUGCUGCUCCUGCCUUUAAUUUCCCAAAGAGUCAUCAGACGACCUUGGAGUUUGUUCUGCAAGAGGAGCCAGUAAGGCCUCGUGACUGUGGUCACCCUCGGAAGCCUUUGACAGCUAGCUGGUGAGGGCGCUCAGUCGGAGGCCCUGGGGAGGCCCCUGCUAAGCCGAGAAAAGCAUUUCUCACAGUGGAUUUCCUGGAAGUCAGGGUUGGCCUUUGUAUUUUGAAGCACAAAUAAACUUUAUAAAAUUUAACUUGGUA
rnacentral:lncRNA from 1 species